rnacentral:pre_miRNA from 1 species
AGUGGGAUGGCUGGGUCAAAUGGAGGUUCCUUUCCAAGUUUUCAAAGGAUUCUCCAUACUGCUUUCCAUAUUGGAUUCACCAAUUUGCAGUCCCACUGGCAAU